rnacentral:rRNA from 1 species
UACGUAGGGGGCAAGCGUUGUCCGGAUUUAUUGGGCGUAAAGAGCGUGUAGGCGGCCAGGUAGGUCAGCUGUGAAAACUCGAGGCUUAACCUCGAGACGCCGGCUGAAACCCUCUGGCUAGAGUCCGGAAGAGGAGAGCGGAAUUCCUGGUGUAGCGGUGAAAUGCGCAGAUAUCAGGAGGAACACCGGUGGCGAAGGCGGUUCUCUGGGCAUUACCUGACGCUGAGGAGCGAAAGUGUGGGGAGCGAACAGG